ensembl:snoRNA SNORD79 Small nucleolar RNA SNORD79
UACUGUUUGUGAUGAAUUCUAAGCAAUGGGAAUCUCUCUGAAAGAGGCUGAGGAGAACUCUUGUGCUGAAACAGUA